rnacentral:lncRNA from 1 species
CUACGCAGUACUAUGUUUUAUUUUGUUAAACAAUCCCCUCCAGCAUGGGUUUAUAUUGAACAGGCAUCAAUAUCUAAGCUGCCAUUAAACCUAUAUCUAUAUUCAGCAGAUUUUAAAAUCUUAAAAAAAACAACAACAAAUCCUUUCCUUAAAAACUCUAUUGAUAUAUGGUUUAAAGCCCAUAGACAUAUUGGUGAUACACCCCCCAUCUCUCAAUUUUCACCCAUUUGGGGUAAUGCGCGGUUUACUCCUGGCAGGGCAGAUGGUGGCUUUCAGAUUUGGGCCGACAGGGGGGUGCAAAAAAUUGGAGACUUGUAUGUUCAGGGCACUUUACUAACAUUUAUUGAACUUUGUUUUAAACACUCACUGCCCAAAAAACACCUCUUUAAAUACUUACAAUUGAAGCACUUCAUCUCGUCAAAGCACCACCAGGCUAUAUGCGAGCCACCGCUGUCCCACCUCGAGGAUAUUGUGUUAAAACACAUGCAUGGGAAACGGCAAAUAUCUAUAAUAUAUGCAGCACUUGUCUCAUACGACAAGGAGUCUAGUCAUGAUAAAAGGAGGGCAUGGAGCCUAGAUAUUAAGGAAGAUAUUGAAGAAACUGAGUGGGCGACAGCUUGUCUAAAAGCUCAAUCACAAACCAUUAAUACCCGAAUGAAACUACUGCAACUCAAGUGGCUAAUGAGGACAUACAUGACUCCUGAGAAACUUAGUAAAUGGUCCCCUGGCAUUCCAGAUACAUGUGUAAAAUGUUUGACUGAGAAAGGUACCUUAGUUCAUUGUGUAUGGGAAUGUCCCAAGUUGGUAGCUUUUUGGAAAAUGGUUGUCCACACUUUAAGUAAAAUCACAGGUAUUCAGGUACCCUGCUUAGCAAAACUUUGUAUCUUAGGGAUAUAUCCAAAUAACUUUCCUUCUAACUCCAAGUGUAAAACUCUGAUCAACUUUGGCCUCCUGCAGGCCAGGAGGAUGGUGGCUCUGUCUUGGAGAGAGACUGAAGUAUCUUCUGCACAAUCCUGGAUUAGAGAG